CCUACGGGGGGCAGCAGUGAGGAAUAUUGGUCAAUGGGAGAGAUCCUGAACCAGCCAAGCCGCGUGAGGGAAGACGGCCCUAUGGGUUGUAAACCUCUUUUGUCGGAGAACAAAACCCGGGACGUGUCCCGGACUGCGUGUAUCCGAAGAAAAAGCAUCGGCUAACUCCGUGCCAGCAGCCGCGGUAAUACGGAGGAUGCGAGCGUUAUCCGGAUUUAUUGGGUUUAAAGGGUGCGUAGGCGGAAUGCCAAGUCAGCGGUAAAAUCGCGGGGCUCAACCUCGCUCCGCCGUUGAAACUGGCGUUC
rnacentral:rRNA from 1 species